rnacentral:pre_miRNA from 1 species
CAAGUACUCCCUCUGUCCAGAAUUACUUGUCAUCAAAAUGGAUGUGUCUAGAACUAAAAUACAUCUAGAUACAUCCAUUUCAAUGACAAGUAUUUUCGGAUGGAGGGAGUACAAG